AGGUUGGGGUUUUGCUUACGAUGUGUUUAUGUUAAUGAGUUUAGUGUGUGCGUGGUUCUUGGUGUUACGAAACCCCCACCAAUACAUAUGCCUUCUUGCGACGUAUAAAAGACGGAGUCAGUGACGCUGAAGCUCAAAGAUCGCGCUUGUGUACCAGCGUUUGUGUGGUGGAAUAUAAACGAAUCGUCGUUUUCUCAUUUUAGUUUACCUCUAAAGUUUUGUUUCAUUUUGAGGAAUACUUCAAAUAGGAGAGGGCAGUCUAUCUUAACAGUCUCUAACGCUCCAGGUAACACGGACAAUGUUGGACCUUGUUGAUAAAAUACAGUUACUGAACCAGUUUUAUUGCACAAAGGUUUGUCAAGUCUUGUAAACAAGAUCGACUUUUCAGAGCUCAAAAAUCGUAUGGUGAUCAAUAGUGACUGUGAUAUAACGAUUGAAGGUUAUUUGAGAGACACCGACUUAGUGCAGCCAACAUCUGUGCUGAAGUCAAGACGUUCGCACGGAUUGGCAAACGAUUUGGUUGUGGAUGAACGUAUGUCAGCAUCAUCUAACUAGAUAGACGACAUUUUGAGCUGGGAUCACAAAUUGUUAGAAUCGUGGGAUGCUUGUGCAUUUUCCCAGGCUCAUGGAAAAAUGUGUGCCAGCGAAUGUAUGGUGACCACUGGAUACAGUGAGUCUGAGGUUCUACCUUCAAACCAAGAAGCUUGCAGUUGCGAGGCGCCUGUUGUUAUAGACAACAGAGUCUUAUUCGACAUGAUACAAAGCGGUUUCAAGACCACUGAGGGCCGUUUUAACACCAUUGAUGGUCGUAUUGAGGCCCUUGAGAAGUGUUUUGCUGUCAUUGAGGAGCGUAUGGACACCUUGUGCUUAUAACCAGUCUUUGACAGAUAUGUUACAAUGACACAGCAUCUCGUAUAAACAUAUUAAAGCUACACAGAGACUCCAUGCUGGGGAGAAUCGACACACUGGUUAUGAUCAAAACCUGACGAGGGAACUGUUAAAGCAGUUUGUACACAUUAAAAACAAACUCGGAUUGUCGAUGGGAGCCAGAGAAAUUCAACAUUAUUUACAGUGUUUCCAGUCAACUUUUUGAGCCCUGUUGAACUGUUUCUCUGACAUGGAACGGCGUGCCACAUGGAACCACCUGCAGUGGUGACAUUCAAUCUGAAAAAAGAUAAUAAUAAACUUAUCAAAUUAUCAAUUAGUUUCUCUCUCUCUCUCUCUCUCUCUCUCUCUCUCUCUCUCACUCACUCACUCUCACUACACACAGUUCCCUAUACAGUUUUCUAAAAUGUAGGUCGAGUCAACAAGGCAGUUAUCUGGUGGCCAGCUGACAGACAUAAAAUGCAGAAAACAAAUAAACAUCUUUGAAAUAUUAAAACA